UUCCACAUUAAAUCAUAGUUUCCUUUUUCAAGUGUUAUUCAAAACUCUAAAAGUUUUGUUGUUUUAUUCUUUUUGACCAUACACUACCUUAGCCCUAAUAUUACUAUCACCACUACCAUCAUUAUAAUUAUCUUUUCAACAUUACCCUAUACCACCAUACAUCAUCAUCAAGAUUUGGGUCAUCACAAAGUGAUUUGGUUUGCACCUGGCUGAAAUAUAAUAAAAAGAAUUUCAAGAUUUGGAGCACUAAUAUAUUUCUCAUAGGGUCUAUAUUCCUUUUUGGGAGCUAAGGUAUAAUAAUUGUGUGUUAAUAAUGUUUCGUUAGUUGAAAAAGGUCUAUAUUUAACCUAUAUCUAUUAUCAUAGAACACUCUAAAUAUUUUACAUGAAAAUUAGGAUUUCGUGGGAUCAAGCAUACAUUAAUUCUCAGAGUCACUCCUGCAAUCAAGCUAGAUUCUCCACAUUCGAGAUUAAGGUUCUAAAACUUAGAGAGCCGGUGGCAAGUGAGACCUUGGAGGCUUGUGUGUGUACUCGCUGAGGACCAUAUAACUGAGGGUGGUCUAGGGCACGCUCCAUUUAUUUUAUUUAGAGUUAUUAGACUAAUGUCGCAGUUAUUUUGAUUUAUUAAUUAUUAUGUCUUUUAAGUCCAAACUGAGCUCAAAUAUGAAAUAUUUUAUGUUUAUAAAUAAAAGCGACAUUAUAGAUUUUCCGCAUUUUAACGCUUGUAACUAAAUUAGUAAUUUAUGAAAAGUACGGGCGUUACAGUUUGGUAUCAGAGCCACAGUUAUAUUGGUCCCGAACGUUCUCACGAGUUACACAUAUCGGCUAAAAAGGUUCCACUCGCUACCCAGUAAGUAUCAUUUUUGCAUGAUUCUAUUUUAUGUACAUUUUAGUAAUUUCAAAAGUUCUUUUUAUUUUCAGAACCCUAGAACCAACUAAGCACCAACAUCAUGAGACCAGAGCAAGUAGAGCACAUUGUUAGGCAUAUUAAGGCUUCAAAGAGAGUCCCCAAGACCCCACCCAUGCUGGAAGAAAACAAGGUCUUUGAUAGAAUUAACAAAAUACAUGAGGGUAUGGAUAAGAUAAUAGAUCGUUGGAAUUGUUUAUUGAAGUCACAUGAGAAGUACAUAGCCUUGAUGCACGCUCUCAACAUGCCACAAGUCCAACAUAGUCUAAGAGCAAAUUGGGAACAUCUAGGGUAUGUCGCGGUAGAUGAGGCCGAAAGAUAUGACCUACUCAUGAUCAACUUAGUGGAUCAAUAUCAAAUUACCGACACCAUUUAUCACCCUGAUGGCUCUAAAGAAGAAAUAUAUCAUCGACCCAAUAAUGCUGUUAGGUCUGAAUUCCUUCAAAAGUUACCAAUUUCAUCAAACUUGGUGUACUUAGAACUCGACUAUGUAGAUUUGUCAGAAGAUAUGUUAGAGGAAGGGUCAGACAUAGAAGAGUAGAAAAGUCAAGUUGCAUUUUAUUCUAUGUGUUUAUUUAUUUAUUUAUUUAUUUUUUUUUUUAUGUAAUAAGGAGUGUUAGUAUGGCUCCACUUUAGUUAGGAGUUUUAGUGUAACUCCUUUAGCUUGUUAUCUUUUGGAAUUUAUAAAUAAAUAAAGACGUUUUAUUUUA